rnacentral:rRNA from 1 species
UACGUAGGGCGCGAGCGUUGCUCGGAUUGACUGGGCGUAAAGGGCGCGUAGGCGGUUUGUACAGUCAGGCGUGAAAUUCCUGGGCUCAACCUGGGGGCUGCGUUUGAUACGUGCAGACUGGAGUUCGGAAGAGGGUCGUGGAAUUCCCAGUGUAGAGGUGAAAUUCGUAGAUAUUGGGAAGAACACCGGUGGCGAAGGCGGCGACCUGGUCCGAUACUGACGCUGAGGCGCGAAAGCGUGGGGAGCAAACAGG